rnacentral:lncRNA from 1 species
AAAGCAAAAAAAUUGACAAAAAUACUUAUAAUCAUCAAAUAUAUGCAUUGAAAGACAUGCAUUUGAAGAUGGUCUAAACCCUCAAAUUAUGUGGCUUGCUCAUGCCAAAAAAAAAGUGUAUUCGUGUUAAACAAUGAUGUCAAACAGCGGUUGCAGUAGUUAGAUAGCAUAGCAGAAUUUGAACAAAUCACUUUUAAUCCGCAAUACACUUUUUAGAACUUAUCACUUUUGAUUGGUAAUACACUUUUUAGUACAAAAUGUCCUUGAAUAGAGGCUAUACCGACACUAUAGCAAUUUAACAUAGUGGAAUUUGAACCCACCGCUGUUUUAUGUUAAACAAGGACGUCAAGUGGUGAUUGUAGUAGUUAGAUAGCGUAGCAGAAUUUGAACAAAUCACUUUUAAUCUGCAAUACAUUUUUUAGAACAAAUCACUUUUGAUCAGUAAUACACUUUUUAGUACAGAAUGUACUUGAAUAGAGGCUAUACCGACACUGUAGCGAUUUAACAUAGUGGAAUUUGAACCCACCGCUGUUUUAUGUUAAACAAGGACGUCAAGUGGCGGUUAUAGUAGUUAGAUAGCGUAGCAGAAUUUGAACAAAUCACCUUUAAUCCACAAUACACUUUUUAGAACAAAUCACUUUUGAUCCGUAAUACACUUUUUAGUACAAAAUGUACUUGAAUAGAGAAUAGAGGCUAUACGGACACUAUAGCAAUUUAACAAAGUGGAAUUUGAACCCACCGCAGUUUUAUGUUAAACAAGGACGUCAAGUAGCGGUUAUAGUAGUUAGAUAGCGUAGCAAAAUUUGAACAAAUCACUUAUGAUCUUCAAUGCAUCACUUAGUACAAAAUGCAGUUGAAAUAGAGGCUAUAUCGACACUAUAGCAAUGUAACAUAGCGGAAUUUAAACCCACCACUAUUUUAUGUUAUCUGUGCAGGCUG